rnacentral:lncRNA from 1 species
GGUGACUGAACGCGCCACCUACAUCGGAACCUCCAACUGGUCUGGCAACUACUUCACGGAGACGGCGGGCACCUCGCUGCUGGUGACGCAGAAUGGGAGGGGCGGCCUGCGGAGCCAGCUGGAGGCCAUUUUCCUGAGGGACUGGGACUCCCCUUACAGCCAUGACCUUGACACCUCAGCUGACAGCGUGGGCAACGCCUGCCGCCUGCUCUGAGGCCCGAUCCAGUGGGCAGGCCAAGGCCUGCUGGGCCCCCGCGGACCCAGGAUGGCCAGUGGCUCAGCAGAGGCCCCGAGAUGCUCUCCUUCCUCCCAGCUGCUGCCCCGGCA